ensembl:lncRNA
CCCAGAGCCGCCCCUGCGCCCUGGGCUGCUUCCGCUGGAUCCCCCCACUCGAGGUGAGCAUACAAGACAGCCCCAGAGCCAGACCUGCCAGGGACAAGGAUAGAGCAUGGUCCAUCGGCAAGUGCUGCAGAUGCUCUCCAGGGCCACCCCAGGCCACCUCGGCCCCUUCCUCUGGAGCAGGACGGCCAGAGAACAGCACACAUCUGUCACCAGCGCCUGAUAGGAACAGAGGCACCAAUGGACCCGGGCUGCUGAGAGGAGAAGGGUGACUCACAGUGGGCCAGAAGAAGAUAAAGGGGUGUUGUGUUUUGAGACGGUCUUGCUAUGUAGCUCAGGCUAGCCUCAAAUUUGUAGCAGUCCUUCUGCUUCAGCCUCUUGAGGGCUGGGAUUACCGAUGUGUGCCACCAUGCCCAGCAAGGCUCUAUCCUGGGCCUGCAGGGCUGUAUGGGGAGGGACCUGUGCUGCCUGAACAUUGCCAUGCACCUGGACAUCAGGAUGUCCAGUCCAACAAGACUUCCGGGAUGACCCAAGGACCGUCUGCCAGGACUAAAGGCAGAAGAGGGCGUGGCGGAAAUUGCCAGGUCUCUGGGAUCCAAAGAUUCUUUAGCCAGGUGUGGCCACACCUGCAAUCCCUGUACUCUGGGAGACUGAGGCAGGGAGAUCACAAAUUGAAGGGGCCGGGGAUUUAGCUCAGUGGUUUCGCUGCUUGCUGCGAAAACGCAAGGACCCAAGUUCAAUCCCCAGUACCAAAAAAACCCCAAAACCAAAUUGGAGUCCAGCUGGACAAUUUAGUGAUUUAGUGAGACCCAACCCCAAAAUAAGGAAAAAAGGGCAAGGGAUGUAGCUCAGGGCAAAGAGGCCUUGAGUUCAACCUGCAGUACUACAGAGAAAAGAAAAUGUUAGGUGAAGAAAAAGAAUUGUGUACUGAAUUCACAUGGACUUCUCUUUAUCCCCUCAACAACUCAGGGUAGUGCUGAGGUGUUGGGAGCCAUGGAUCUGGGGUCUGGUAGUCCUGGUGCCCAGCCCGGCGGUCCAGCUCAAGGGCACAUGCGCCACCUCUGCAUCUGUUCCCACCUGACUCAGAGCAGAAUGUGCUGGGGCCCCCUGAGGUCCGCUGCAAUCCAGAGGCUGGCAGUGCCCAGCCAGCAACCCUUCAGCCUGCUCCUCACAGGGCACCUGUUCCCACAUGCAUGAUUUCUCUCUUCCCCAGGAGGCCCAAGCAGACUCACAGUGGCUCCUGCCCUGACAGCCGCCUCCUCACCCUGCCUCAGUUUCCUGUCUGUCCCAAAAGCAGGUUAGUCAAGGUGACCCAGCUCAGCCUCUAACUGAAGAUCUUGCCCAGGGCCAUGUCAGUGUGCAGACUCCACCCUGCAAGUCUGGGGGCCCGGGCUCUGGGUCCUCAUCCAGCCCCUGUCUGCCACAGGGACCCACUCCGGGGACCCCUUGCUCUGGGGAAAAUCUAAAACCCCAGGGCACAGCUGGGAUGCGGCCCAGUAGGGAGCAUUUGCCUGGCAUGCCUGAGGCCCUGGGUUCUGUCCUCAGCACCAGGAAAGCGGAAUCCUGAUGCCCCUGUCUCCCCUCACAGAUUCUAAUUUAAUUGGGCACAAAGCCCCCCCUUAAACUAGGCUCUCCACAUGAGGCCUGGUGGCACAUGCCUGUUAUCCCAGUCUCCAAGGAGACGAAGGCAGGAGGAUCACCUUGAGUUCAAGGCCACCCUGGACUUCGUGGUAAGACCAUGUCUCAAAACCUAAACAAGAAAUAAAUAAAAAAUAAGGCUAUCCUGGUAGUGGAUGUCACCCUGACGCCUGGCUGGGGUGCCGGGUGCCCAAGUAAUCAAAGCUGCCUAUUGGUCCCCAGGUGGCCAGCUUCCCCUGCAUUCUUGCCUGAGCUUCUCCUUCUUAUAUUUGGUUAUUUUUCUCUCCUUCCCAAACACAACAAUUCAAACUAUUCCCAGCCUGCAGACAAUAAACAAAGCUGGGAGGCAGCCGGGAGGGGUCAGGUUUGCUCCCACUUAUGGCCUGAUCAGAGGCCACCCGGAUUGGGUCCUGACGGGUAGUCUGAGCCUGGCGGGUGGCCUGGCUUCAGUCCCAGGGUCCCCAAGUCCCUCGGUUUAGAUGACCAGGUACCCCUCAGGCCACGUCCCCGGGAGUCAGGGCUCAGGGGGGUGAGUGACCUGCGCCCGGACGCACAGUGCAGCUGAGAUGGCCCCUCCCUCCCACUCCUCUCGGUUUCCAGCUGUGAGUAGCUGUGGGGCCCCGGGCAGGCUUGGGUCAGACCAAAGGUUUUCCAGGGGUCAGCCUGAGCUGAGCCUCAGUGGGCCCAUCUGUAAAUGAGGCCCAGCAACACAGGAGAGGCCAGGCCUAGGCCAGAAAGAAUGGCACUUAGGGCAGUCACCCUGGUUUGUCACCAGGAUGGCAGGGCCAGCGGGAAAGCAGACUGUAGGCCAAAGGGGGACAGGAAGGAGGACCAGAAGGGGGGAAGAGUCAUCCGAGCUCCCAGGAAGCUGAGGCAGGAGGAUUGCCCCGAGUUUGAGGUCAACUUGGGCUACAGAGCAAGACUUUGUCUCAAAACAAAACAGAAAAAGAUUCUAAGUACUGAGAGGGACCCUGGGUGGGUCUGGAGGGCAGCAAAAAGCCACACCCUCACUGUCCAGGUGGUCAGGGUGGGUGGUGGCCACUGGCCCCAUUCGAGCUUAACCCUGGCCUGGGGCAUCACCGUCCACACUGCUUUGUCCCUUUUUGACUCCCAUGCGGCCCUCUGGGAGCUGGGCAGAGGCAGGGCUGUCCCCAGUAGGAGCCUCUGAGUGGCUGGGGCUGCGGGAGGGUGUGGCAUGGGGUCAGAGGACCCUGACAUUCUCCAUGCACAGCUCUGUGACCGUCACUGGACAGUGACCCAGGCCCAGUGGCCUUACAGAGCUCUAGCCCACGGCCACUGCCAAUGGCAGUGCUUGACAGGCCUUUGGAGGUUGUAGCCGGUUGUUUGCCUCUGGGACAGCCCCAGGCCCCGACCAGG